rnacentral:tRNA from 1 species
GGGUCGGUAGCUUAGUUAGUAAAGCACUUGUCUAGCGAAUAUGAGCCGCGAGUUUAAAUCUCACCUGGGCGG